UAUAUACACAUAUAUGCAACGUAUAUGACCAUCAUCUUCACCCAAAUCGUAAUAAUGGACCUCUUACCACCAUUACCAAACGUUUCUAUGACUUGCCACCAUUGUCUAUCAUCACCAAUAGUCACAUACACUUUCCAUCAUAACUUACAAAAUUAACAACUACUUACCAUUAUCAUACAACUUCUCUUGCGGCUUCCUAC
rnacentral:lncRNA from 1 species